UCCUGGAGCUCAACUCCAGAACUGCCAUUGAUACUAUCUGUCUUGAAUAUUGUGGAGGUAAGCGGAAUAUGUCAUGUAGCGGUGAAAUGCUUAGAUAUGACAUAGAACACCUAUUGCGAAGGCAGCUUACUACGCAUAUAUUGACGCUGAGGCACGAAAGCGUGGGGAUCAAACAGGAUUAGAUACCCUGGUAGUCCACGCCGUAAACGGUGGGCGCUAGUUGUGGGAACCUUCCACGGUUUCUGCGACGCAGCUAACGCAUUAAGCGCCCCGCCUGGGGAGUACGAUCGCAAGAUUAAAACUCAAAGGAAUUGGCGGGGGUCCGCACAAGCGGUGGAGUAUGUGGUUUAAUUCGAUGAUACGCGAGGAACCUUACCUGGGCUAGAAUGCUGGGAGAUCGCUAGUGAAAGCUAGUUUUGUAGCAAUACACUGCCAGUAAGGUGCUGCAUGGCCGUCGUCAGCUCGUGCCGUGAGGUGUUGGGUUAAGUCCCGCAACGAGCGCAACCCCUAUCUUUAGUUGCCAACAGGUAAUGCUGGGAACUCUAAGGAAACUGCCGCCGUAAGGUGUGAGGAAGGAUGGGGAUGAUGUCAGGUCAUCAUGGCCUUUAUGCCCAGGGCUACACACGUACUACAAUGGGGGAGACAAAGGGCUGCAACAUAGCGAUAUGAAGCCAAUCCCAAAAA
rnacentral:rRNA from 1 species